rnacentral:rRNA from 1 species
GGAUAGGGGUGAAAGGCUAAACAAACCCGGAAAUAGCUUGUUCUCCCCGAAAACUAUUUAGGUAGUGCGUCGUGUCUUACCUUCGGGGGUAGAGCACUGGAUCGGGAAGGGGGGCGCAAGCCUUACUAACUCGAACCAAACUCCGAAUACCGAAGAGUACAAUCACGGCAGACAGACAGUGGGUGAUAACGUCCAUUGUCAAGAGGGAAACAACCCAGACCUCCAGCUAAGGUCCCCAAAUCGUAAUUAAGUGUGAAAGGAAGUUGGACUUCCAUGACAACCAGGAAGUUGGCUUAGAAGCAGCCAUCUUUUAAAGAAAGCGUAAUAGCUCACUGGUCUAAAUAAGAGGUCCGGCGCCGAAGAUGUACCGGGGCUAAAAUUACGUACCGAAGCUGAGGAUGCAUAUUUAUAUGCAUGGUAGCGGAGCGUUGUGUAAGUCUGUGAAGGUUCACCGUGAGGUGGGCUGGAGAUAUCACAAGUGAGAAUGCGGACAUGAGUAACGAUAAAGAGUGUGAGAAACACUCUCGCCGAAAUCCCAAGGGUUCCUGUCCAAUGUUAAUCCGGGCAGGGUAAGCCGGCCCCUAAGGCGAGGCUGAAAAGCGUAGUCGAUGGGAACACGGUUAAUAUUCCGUGG